UGGGGAAUUUUGGACAAUGGGGGAAACCCUGAUCCAGCCAUCCCGCGUGUGCGAUGAAGGCCUUCGGGUUGUAAAGCACUUUUGGCAGGAAAGAAACGUCAUGGGUUAAUACCCCGUGAAACUGACGGUACCUGCAGAAUAAGCACCGGCUAACUACGUGCCAGCAGCCGCGGUAAUACGUAGGGUGCAAGCGUUAAUCGGAAUUACUGGGCGUAAAGCGUGCGCAGGCGGUUCGGUAAGAAAGAUGUGAAAUCCCAGAGCUCAACUUUGGAACUGCAUUUUUAACUCCCGGGCUAGAGUGUGUCAGAGGGAGGUGGAGUUCCGCGUGUAGCAGUGAAAUGCGUAGAUAUGCGGAGGAACACCGAUGGCGAAGGCAGCCUCCUGGGAUAACACUGACGCUCAUGCACGAAAGCGUGGGGAGCAAACAGG
rnacentral:rRNA from 1 species